AUGAACGCUGGCGGCGUGCUUAACCCCUGCAAGUCGAACGAUGAAGCCCAGCUUGCUGGGUGGAUUAGUGGCGAACGGGUGAGUAACACGUGAGUAACCUGCCCUUAACUCUGGGAUAAGCCUGGGAAACUGGGUCUAAUACCGGAUAGGAGCGUCCACCGCAUGGUGGGUGUUGGAAAGAUUUAUCGGUUUUGGAUGGACUCGCGGCCUAUCAGCUUGUUGGUGAGGUAAUGGCUCACCAAGGCGACGACGGGUAGCCGGCCUGAGAGGGUGACCGGCCACACUGGGACUGAGACACGGCCCAGACUCCUACGGGAGGCAGCAGUGGGGAAUAUUGCACAAUGGGCGCAAGCCUGAUGCAGCGACGCCGCGUGAGGGAUGACGGCCUUCGGGUUGUAAACCUCUUUCAGUAGGGAAGAAGCGAAAGUGACGGUACCUGCAGAAGAAGCACCGGCUAACUACGUG
rnacentral:rRNA from 1 species